GUAAGAAUAUUUUUAGGAAAAAGCUAUCAAAGUAAAUGGAUUUCACCUCCAUCUACUGUAGCCCGUGUGACACUAUUUGGACAUUUAAUGACGUCGUCAGCCUCCCCGCGCUGUGCCCACUUGGAGCGCAGGAGCGAAAUUUCAGCUUGGAGGUUUCUGGUGCUUAGCGAAGCGUCUCAGGUAAAUUAAGCGGUGGAGGACGAAAUGAGAAGCUUGCAGCGCGACGAUAGCAGUACCAUUGGAGCGCCUACUGUGUCCCAGGCACUGAGUCACACUCUACAAGGAUUCAUUUAAUCCUCACACAGCAGAAGAGUGAACAUUUACCACUAUAACGAGAUCAAGAGGCCAAGUUUGGAGAAAUGAAUUACACGAAGAGAUGUCAUCCUUGACUAAAGCCUCCAGCCUCCCUCCUUAAAGGGAACUUGUGCUUCUGUGAAGGUUCCCACCAAUUUGAUGUGAAUUGUUGUUCUACAGUGAUGCCCUCUGACUUGAAUCUCCAGUCCUGUCCCUCUACACUGAAACCAGGGACCUUGAACCAGAGAACUCCUUUAAGGAGCAGACCUAAACAAACAUGAGAACCAUGGCAGGUUUGUGGAGAACAGACCUAUAGGCUGCAAUGGCAAUGUGAGAUCAGACCUCAGCUGCUUCUGAGAGCAGGAAAAGCUGGAGCCAGGAGGGUUAAAAUAGGUUGCCCUAAGUUUUAUGAAGCAGACAUAUUUUUUACCCCUACCCUGGUUUCUACAUCAGUCCCUUCGGAUUCUACCAUCUGAUGGGGCAUGUGCUGCUGUGGAAGAUCUUCAUUUUCGACUGUGGAAAAGGGGGAAACAUGAUGCAACAAUUAUUUUUGCAUUUAAGAAUAGGAAAAAUACUAGAAAUAGGGUAUCACUACAUUCCUUCAGUUAAUUAAUGCUACAUCUUAUAGGAUAUUGUGUUCUGCAAGAAGCAGCAGCUAAGAAGUCUAAAGCCCUCUGAAGAGAUACAUCUGAUGAUCACUCACCCAGUUGGCAAUUCUUGUUUUAAAGUCUCAAUAUCCAUAACCUGAACAGAUUGUCCACCACCUCUUGUUUUAUAAACAUCACCCUGAAGCAGACAGGAAAGACCAGCAUUAUACUUUAAUAUAACUGAAUGAUAAACAUGUAUUUCAAACUGAACUUAAGAUUCUCCAUGAAACAGUAAAGAAAGUCCCAUUCACAA